UCAGGUGAUCAACCUGCCUCAGCCUCCCAAAGUGCUGGGAUUACAGGCGUGAGCCACCGCACCUGGCCUAGGGGUACCUUUAAUAAAUCUUUUUGGGGGUGCAAUUCAGCCCUCAAGACCAGGAUCCAAAUCAGGAUACCACCUUAAAUUUAACAUAAUGCCCUUAAAAAUGAAAAAGGUCAGAACCAAGCUCUAUCCACAGAAUCAAAUCAAAAUUUCACUUUGGCAUCCUUCUUUUGCUCACCCUUCACCCUGUUCCCCACCCGUUGUAUGUGCACUCAGCUAGCUCUAUGUUUCCUCUGUACAUCCUUCCUGCUUGAAUUUGAUAGUCUCAAUUUUUCAGUCAAGUUAGUUCUUAACAAUUUUGAGGUCAUGGGACCACUCUGAGAAUCUAAUAGAAGCUAUGGAGUCUCUGAGAACACUGCACAGAUAAAAACAAUUUAGCAUCCAAUUUCAGAGCAGUCAGAUACUAAUCCACUUCCCUCCUCCCCAAGGGCCUCUAAGUAUAGAACCACCUUGCACAGUUUGGCUUCCCCAGGCAUUGAUUCUGCAAUAAAAUCAUCACAACUCACUAUCAAUCCCUCUUCCAAGGCAAUUUCUCCAGAUCCUGCACAUUGUGCAGUGCUCCAUACUCUGGGUCUUGGCCAACCUUAGCUGUCCAGCCACUGCCUCGGGCUGAAGCUGAGAAGGGCUGGCUGGGCAGAGCUCUUCCACUGGGCCCUGAAGGCAGCUGGACUCCCUCUCCAGCCAACUUGGCUGUGAGCAUAGAACCCCCACAAAUUCUGCUUGACCCAACACCUCUUCUGAGCCCACUUUCUCCAGGGGUGGGUAGAAAUAUCUCAGAAUGUUAAAACUUCUCAGUCCGCAAGCCAUGUUAUCAUCUGGAUUUCAACAAAGAAAAGUGACUCCAGCAUGCAGAGUGGGAUCAACUUGCUCUACCAACUCUGGAUCUUCUGUCAUCUGGAAAUGACGGGGAUCUUGUACUCACGGGCAAUGCCUGCCUACUAUUAUCUUUGGAAUCAGCAUGUGAGGCCCCCUACAGUGCCUCAUCCAUCUGACUCAUGCCGAAGAUGGUCCAGGCGUCACCUGAGCUAUGCUACCUUUGGUAAAGACCCAUGCAGGCUUCUCUUUGCCCUGGAGUCACACUUUCUCCCCUAUUGACACCCCAGCCAGGAUCACACCAAUACCUCCAACAUCAAUCAGAAGUCAACAAGAAUGGAAAACAGACUAAAGUAACUUCUAUGGACAGGGCUGGGUCUA
rnacentral:lncRNA from 1 species